ACAAAAUUGCGAGACAAGUUGCAAGACAAGUUGCAUAGUAGCCCGGGUACCCAAGCCGGCCUGGUUUGGGUAAAAUCUUGCUUUUGUUAUUAUGUCCUACUAAAUUUCAUUUGAAGUUUAUAUGGGAACCGAGCUGGCUAGCCUAAGCGAGAUCCCGCCUCGACUGACCCGAGAUCUAGGGUGCCCAGGCUGGGGAAUUUUCCAUACAAACGCGAUGACCCGGGCUGUCUCGGCCGCUCCUAGUGUCUAAUAAAAUAAAAGGGGCCAAUUAACGAUAGGCAACUUGCACUAAGAGGUCACGUAACCUUGAAUAUACAGAGUGAUGUUUUAAGCAAAAAUUCGUAUUUUUUGUUUUAAAAACUUCAAAAAAUAUAUCUUACACGUUUAGGGUAGGGCGCUUAGUAGAGGGGGAACGCUUUAUAGAGGGUCAUUUGAUGGAGGUUAUAUUUCAUUUUACGUAGUGCUAAAUCGUCUUCUAACUUUAUUUUGUCAAGAUAAGGACGAGGCUAUACGUCGUCUGGAAGCUCUCGAGAAAGGUAAAGCAGAAAAUAAUCGAAUUCCGAUUAUGCUGAUCGGGCAAGGCCGAGGCGGAAAGUCUUCGCUGAUGAGACGUCUUUUAGGAUUACCAAUUCCUCCGCCAUGCCCGUGGCAUUAUAACGACAAACGAACAACAGGAUAAAAGAAAGGGAAUAAAUAAGAAUUCACACAGCUGCAUUUAGCAUCCUACGGGGAGAAAGACGACGUCUCUAUUGGUUCUUCUUUAUAUAUGCUAUGCUCAAUAUUUGCUGAUAUAAUUAUAUAUAAGUCCAGCAUUAUUAAAUUUUACCGUUGUCGUGCUGAGGACACUCGACCAUAUUUUAAAAUUAUGGUUGAUACCUUUUCCCGAUGGUUCGAUACAUUUCUUGAUUUUAAAUUAUGCGUGUCCGGCAUUGAUGUUUUUCGUAAAAAUCCGAUCAACAUUCGAAAAAUGUUUACGUUUUAGCUUCUUUAUGAGUGAUUUUCUUCUAGCAAAAGGAAAGCCUUUCCAGGGCGUGCAGGAG